rnacentral:tRNA from 1 species
GCCUGGGUGGCUCAGUUGGUUGAGCAUCUGACUUUGGCUCAGGUCAUGAUCUCGCGGUUUGUGAGUUCAAGCCCCUCGUUGGGCU